rnacentral:misc_RNA from 1 species
UGGAAGUCUGGAGGUUCCUCAG